rnacentral:rRNA from 1 species
AGAACGAACGCUGGCGGCAUGCCUAAUACAUGCAAGUCGAACGAACACUCUGACUUCGGUUGGGGUGUUAGUGGCGCACGGGUGCGUAACGCGUGGGAAUCUGCCCUUGGGUUCGGAAUAACAGUUGGAAACGACUGCUAAUACCGGAUGAUAUCGAAAGAUCAAAGAUUUAUCGCCCAGGGAUGAGCCCGCGUAGGAUUAGCUAGUUGGUGGGGUAAAGGCUCACCAAGGCGACGAUCCUUAGCUGGUCUGAGAGGAUGAUCAGCCACACUGGGACUGAGACACGGCCCAGACUCCUACGGGAGGCAGCAGUAGGGAAUAUUGGACAAUGGGCGCAAGCCUGAUCCAGCAAUGCCGCGUGAGUGAUGAAGGCCUUAGGGUUGUAAAGCUCUUUUACCCGAGAUGAUAAUGACAGUAUCGGAGAAUAAGCCCCGGCUAACUCCGUGCCAGCAGCCGC